rnacentral:rRNA from 1 species
UUCCUACGGGAGGCAGCAGUGGGGAAUAUUGCACAAUGGGGGAAACCCUGAUGCAGCGACGCCGCGUGAGUGAAGAAGUAUUUCGGUAUGUAAAGCUCUAUCAGCAGGGAAGAAAAUGACGGUACCUGAUUAAGAAGCCCCGGCUAACUACGUGCCAGCAGCCGCGGUAAUACGUAGGGGGCAAGCGUUAUCCGGAUUUACUGGGUGUAAAGGGAGCGUAGACGGCGUGCCAAGUCUGAUGUGAAAGGCCGGGGCUCAACCCCGGGACUGCAUUGGAAACUGGCAUGCUGGAGUGCCGGAGGGGG